UUACGUACGUAACGUGCCCUAUCUUGAAAAAGACAUCCUUUUUACGUGGUUUUUUGGUCGCGCAUGGUAUCCACUCGUCAAUGUAAGUGGCCCCCCCGGGUACAGGUGUUGAUCUAUGUGAACAUUUAUCAGCAAAAUAUGGUUUUCUACUUCACUAGCAAUGUGGUCUCAACACCAUAUACAAUCUACAUGGGAUUUGACAAGUAUGAGAAUGAAGAGCUUAUAAAAUAUGGUUUCCCAGAAGAUAUCUGGUUUCACGUCGACAAGCUGUCAUCGGCUCAUGUGUAUCUGAGAUUAAAGACAGGGCAAACGAUACACGACAUACCUGCUCCUGUGGUGCAAGACUGUGCACAGCUGGUGAAGGCCAACAGUAUACAGGGUUGUAAAAUGAACAACAUCGCAGUUGUAUACACACCAUGGGCAAACUUGAAGAAAACUGGAGAUAUGGACGUUGGUCAGAUUGGCUUCUGGAAACAUAAAGAGGUGAUAACGGUAACGGUAGAAAAGAAGCUAAACGAGAUCGUGAACAGACUCAAUAAGACAAAGGAAGAGAGAAAGCCUGAUCUGAGGCUAGAGAGGGAAGCUAGGGAUAGAGAGGAGAGGAAUGAAAACAAGAAGAAAAUGGCUGAUAAGAGGAAACAAGAAGAGGAGGAAAUAAAGAAGCAAAAGGCAGAAAAGGAACUAAGCCAAACUCUCUCUUCAUAAACUUAAGAUCAGGAAUUAUACGUCGCUCAUGAAAGAAGAGAAUAUGACCUCGAAUGCUGGAAACACGUUUGAGGAUCUGGAGGAUGAUUUCAUGUGAUAUUUAGCAAUCUUUUUGAAGAUACUAGACACCCAAUUUGGGGGAAAUGGAUUAAUGUGACAAAUGACAUUCAACUGUGACGCACGCAUAUACCGAUUGCCUGAAAAUCAAGAGAAUGCACGUUUUAUUCCAAGUUAUUUUGGUAAUGAGAACAGUGAUGAUCUCUGAAGUACGCCUGCCCGUCUUAGUGUGAGCCACUGGUGAUGCAACAAUAUGUUCCCAGAUUUAUACCCGUCUAGCAGAUGUUUGUGUCCUCAAAGCCACCAUCAAUCUGUAAUAUUGAUUCUAUGGUGUGUUCAAAGCAACAAAACAGGAAGGAUCCAGUAUUACCAAGGAAGACCAGAAUUCAGACAGAAAAUACAUGGACUUGCAAUUCAUUGGAAACGUGUCUUUGUCUGCGUCAAGACUCAAAGCUCUCCUUUAAAAAUCAUGUAAAAUUUCUGCCAAGAUUUAAUAGAAAGUGAAUUCUAUUAUGUAGUGUUAUUUUUUCUAUGCCAUUUGGUCUGUGGAAAAUGAGGGAUUUUAAUUUCAAUGUCCAAGGUGAAAUGGCUUCAGUAUGCAGCUGUCAGUUUUAUGAGGCACCACUUAACCCUCAAUCUCCCGGGAAGAGAAGGGUGGUUCAUGGGCAAGUCUCCCACUCAAUGAUGAUUCAUAGUAUUCUCAACGAAAACAAAAAGUGUGCUAUAUUAUUGACUCAUAUGUGCAUGCGCGUAGUGGUCAGUCGGUAAACUACAUGCACAGGUGGAGAGCUAGGUGUGAGUCUUUCAUUUAUUGCGAAGAUGUGUGACACUUUGUUUGUCAUUGUUGGUCAGUAAUUUUUAGGUACUGCGAGUGCACCAUGGAAGACAAAAAGGCAACACGGACAAUGACCCCCCCUCCCUAUUUCCAGGAGUCAAGAUGUGUGUCAUCUGAAUCACAGCUGCAUAAAUGCUGCCUGGAUUUCUUCGUGAAACUACAUUCAUCACUCAGGGGUGUGAGAGGUCAGCUUGUAGCUGAUUUCACUUUUGUUUUGAUUUGCAGCUUGAUAUCAGCUUAUUUAAGCUGUCCUUUUUACAAAAGUAUUAGAGCUCUUUCAAUUUCAUCUGUUUUCAACACUCUUCAGCUUGUUUUAUAGCUCUUUUUAUUCGUGAUGGCUCUCGCACCCGUGAUGCAUCAUGCUUUAUAGUAAGUGAGCAUUAUCUUCUAUUUUACAAUGAAAUAGAUUUUAUCUUAAAAUUAUGAUGAAUUUGAGGAAUGAAUCAGAGACUAAGGGGAGGGUUUCAUGAAGGUUGUCGGAGCUGACAGUUUCAAUGAAAUCCUUGGUUUUGAUUGGCUGAGAGGCACUGGCCUCUGACUGUUACUAUGGUAACUAUCAGAGAAAGUCGACCUGUCAGUGAUUACAACCUUAUGAAACAGUCCCCAGGUUACAGCAUAUAAUUUGACAAAGCUUACCAGUAUGAAUUUUCAUUCAAUACUAGUAUGCAAUCAGUGUACACUAUCUAUUAAAGCUAUUAUAUAUAUUUUACUUCUAUCUGGAUCCCGUCUCACAAAGAGUUACGAUCGAUCCAAUCAAUCGUAACUAUGGAAAUCCAUCAGUGUCAUCAUUUUUUCUACAGGAAAUUUGCACCAUGUCCUUGGUAAACAAAGAGAAGCACAGUGAAUUUUCAAGAAAACAAUGAAUGCAUAAAUAUAAAUUCAUAUCUAAAAAUUUUCAAAACAAACAUGCGUUUUAGGUGUUGACUUUGCUGGCUUUCCAUAGUUGCUAUUGAUUGGAUCAAUCGUAACUCUUUGGUAAGACUGGGCCUGUCACCUGGUUUUGUGAUGAAUUGUAUACCUCCAUUACCAAUUCUGGAGCCUGUUGCAGAAAAGUUACAAUAAACCGGGGCCCCGUCUUACAAAGAGUUACGAUCUAAUCAAUCUUAACUAUGGAAAUCCAUCAAUACCAUUAUUUUUUCUAAAGGAAAUUUGCACUUGUAAUCUCCUUUGUAAGCAAAGGAGACCACACUGAAUUUUCAAGAGAAUGAUGAAUGUAUGCACAUCAUAUCUAGAAAAUAUUUUGAACAAACAUGUAUUUUAGAUGUUGAUGCGUCUGGCUUUCCAUAGUUGCCCCAGGUCAAUGGGGGCUCAGAACUUAAAAAGAAAACAUGCACAUGAUGAUUUAUAACCAAUCAAUAAUAUCUAUUCGGGACUUCUGUUUGAUUCACCCAACUCUUGUUUUUCAUUGUGUGAAUGAAAUUCAUGUUUGAACCCAAAUUUGUGAUUAAACAAAUAAUUAUAUUGUGCCCCUUUUUUCGAGGAUGGGGGGGGGGGGUUACAGAAAUGAAAAUUACACCUUGGCCCCAUCUUAUAAAGAGUUACGAUUGAUCCAAUCAGUCGUAAUUCUAUGGAAAUCCAUCAGUGUCAUUUUUUUCUACAGGAAAUUCGCACAAUGUCCGUCGUAAACAAAGAGAAGCACAGUGAAUUUUCAAGGAAAUAAUGAAUGCUUGAAUAUACAUCAUAGUUAAAAAAUAUAUUGAACAAACAUACAUAAUAGAUGUUGACAUUGCUGGCCGUCCAUAGUUGUGAUUGAUCAAUCGCAAUUCUUUGUAAGACGGGGCCCUGGUGCCUGUGUGUAUGAAAUGCUUCUGACAAUAUUUCAAGUCACUGGUAAAAUGUAUUUUUCAGCAUUUCUGAACAAAUUGGAGCUUGGCAAAUUUAUGCACAUUCAUGGUAUACACACCAUUCAAAAGAGCAACUUUCAGUACAUGUACACUGUAUGUGUCAUUCCAAAAUUAAAAAUUCAAACAUCUGUAAUCUUUGAUUGUUUUCAUUUAUCAUAUUUUUUUCUUAUGUCAAGUGUUUUAAAUAGAACCAAGUUGGUAUAGGCUGGACUACCCCAUUAAAUUGGUACUCUUGUCUGAAACUGAUCAAAUUUAGGCAAAAUAAUAAAAAGUGUCAUCAAAGUUGGGUGAAAAGUAAUUA